UACAGAGGGUGCGAGCGUUAAUCGGAAUUACUGGGCGUAAAGCGUGCGCAGGCGGUUUUGUAAGUCUGAUGUGAAAUCCCCGGGCUCAACCUGGGAAUUGCAUUGGAGACUGCAAGGCUAGAAUCUGGCAGAGGGGGGUAGAAUUCCACGUGUAGCAGUGAAAUGCGUAGAGAUGUGGAGGAACACCGAUGGCGAAGGCAGCCCCCUGGGUCAAGAUUGACGCUCAUGCACGAAAGCGUGGGGAGCAAACAGG
rnacentral:rRNA from 1 species